rnacentral:rRNA from 1 species
CAGCAGCCGCGGUAACACGGAGGGUGCAAGCGUUGAUCGAAAUUACUGGGCGUAAAGCGUGCGUAGGCGGUUCGUUAAGUCUGUUGUGAAAGCCCCAGGCUCAACCUGGGAAUGGCAAUGGAUACUGGCGAGCUAGAGUGUGUCAGAGGAUGGUGGAAUUCCCGGUGUAGCGGUGAAAUGCGUAGAGAUCGGGAGGAACAUCAGUGGCGAAGGCGGCCAUCUGGGACAACACUGACGCUGAGGCACGAAAGCGUGGGGAGCAAACAGGAUUAGAUACCCGAGUAGUCCCUGUCUCUUAUAC